UCAAUUGGAGUCAACGCCAGAAAUCUUACCCGGAGAGACAGCAGAAUGAAGGUCAAGCUGAAGACUUUACCAGACAAGCUGAGAGGUGGUGCAUGGCCGUCGCCAGCUCGUGCCGUGAGAUGUCCUGUUAAGUCAGGUAACGAGCGAGAUCCUCGCCACUAGUUGCUAUCAUUAUUCUCAGGAAUAGUGGGGCGAAUUAGUGGGACUGCCGUUGUUAAAACGGAGGAAGGAAGGGGCUACGGCAGGUCAGUAUGCCCCGAAACUCUGGGGCCACACGCGGGCUGCAAUGGUAGCGACAAUGAGCUCCAAACUCGAAAGAGAGUGGCAAUCUCUAAACGCUACCACAGUUAUGACUGAGGGCUGUAACUCGCCCUCACGAAUAUGGAAUCCCUAGUAACCGCGUGUCAUUACCGCGCGGUGAAUACGUCCCUGCUCCUUGCACACACCGCCCGUCGUUUCAUCGAAGUUUGCUUUUAGCGAGGUGAUGUUUAAUUGACAUUAUCGAACUUGAGGUAAGUGACGAGGGAAAAGUCGUAACAAGGUGACCGUAGGGGAACCUGCGGUCG
rnacentral:rRNA from 1 species